CCUACGGGGGGCAGCAGUGGGGAAUAUUGCACAAUGGGGGAAACCCUGAUGCAGCGACGCCGCGUGAGUGAAGAAGUAAUUCGUUACGUAAAGCUCUAUCAGCAGGGAAGAAACACUGACCUUACGGUCAUCAUACUGUACCUUAUUAAGAAGCCCCGGCUAACUACGUGCCAGCAGCGGCGGUAAUACGUAGGGGGCAAGCGUUAUCCGGAUUUACUGGGGGUAAAGGGAGCGUAGACGGUGCGCCAAGUCUGGGGUGAAAUGCGGCAGCUGAACUGUGGAACUGCUUUGUAAACUGGCGAACUAGAGGACGGGAGGGGUAGGCGGAAUUCCUAGUGUAGCGGUGAAAUGCGUAGAUAUUAGGAGGAACACCGGUGGCGAAGGCGGCUUACUGGACCGUAACUGACGUUGAGGCUCGAAAGCGUGGGGAGCAAACAGGAUUAGAUACCCCUGUAGUC
rnacentral:rRNA from 1 species